GGUUAGGUUUGAUGUGAUCCAGCGAGAGGGGUUUGGCAGAGAGCGACUUUAGGUGGGCUAUAUUUUGGAUUAAGGCUUGAACCAGACAGGGCUGAAACCACGUAUGGUCUUUCAGUGGUGCUCAGCCCAAGGGAGCUUUGCGCAGCCGGGGAGGGGACAGUGAGAUGCUGUGAGCCAGGAAUGUGGAACACUCCACCUGUUUCUGUUACGGCCCAGUGAAGUCAACUGAAAAAUUCUGCCUACAGUAAUCUCUUGCAUAUUUUCUUCUGGGAGGAAGAGGAAGGGCAAGGCAGCUUUCUGAACCUUAUCACCAGUACUAAGUGUAGGCAAUCUUGAAAUAUCCCGAAGCAAAAGAGGCUCAUGUUGUGAAAAAGAGACAUUAAGGUGACAUUGAGCUGGGUACCUCUAAGAGUUGGAUAGCGGGGAAGCCUUCACAGUGAGGACGUGGCUUUAUUAUAACCAGAGUUCAUAGCAGCGCCGAGCAGCUGAGAGCUGCGAGGAGGAGGAUGCUGAGAAAUACAUGCCAAGUUGCUUGAUGUUCCUUUCCCAAAUGUCUUCUAAUUUUAAACACUUAAAUAAUUGACUAUUUAUAAAUGUUUCAAUGGAAAAAUCCCCAAGCUCAGUGACAGAUGGUCAGUCGCACCUUGAAUGAGAUGAUUAUUGUAACAGUCAGCACAGAUCUCUGAAUAAUGCCUUUCCCACUGACUCCGGUGUUGCUUAUUUGGGUCAUGCUGAAAAUAGCCUUAGCUAAAAGGUGUAUGAAGCAUCUGCCAAAGCAUGUAAUCUGUCUCUGUUUCAGCCCUCCUAAGUAAAUACACUUGAACAUUGAGAUGGCAACGAAGUAGAUGAAUACAAAUGUUCAGAGUCAACUUCUUUUGGCAGGAGUGAUGAUUUUUUAUUUUUUUUUAAUAAACUCUCCCCCCUUGAAUCUGCAUUUGUUGUUCCUCUUUGGUGGAAAAUAAGAGUAACUUGUAGAAGAUCUCUACCUCUCAUCAAGGAAAACACUCAGCUCCCUCUCCCUUGUCAAUACAUAAGAACAAAUGGUUCUGCAGAAGUUAACUUCUGGGGGUUUGUUUUUUAGCAUUGUAUCGUGAGGUGAUGUUGAUGGUUCUCUUGUCAAGGCAGUAAGCAGAGAGUCAUACAUCUUAUAGUAAAGAGAU